rnacentral:tRNA from 1 species
GGCUCUGUAGUGAAGUUCAUAGUGAGUUGCAAGCUCAUUGAUGUACGUUAUUUGCGUGCCAGAGCCU